CGCGGGUUCUUUGAUGCUGUGCAGAGCGAGCGCGAGAAUGGAAGGCGAGCCGCAGCUACCGUAUGUUCCUCCUGAACAACCAGUAAAAGGAAACAAGAAAAGAAAGACCGUGUUAGAAACUUCUACAACGAAAAAACGUCUGGAUCAACAGCGUUCUAAAAGCAGAAUUAACAUUGGCGUUGCUUUUCCACGCUGGAGGCAACUGCGGGACUCAAAGGGUCUGAAAAAUGACGCCAUGGUUGCUGUUCUUCUUUUGGACGGUUACGAAAACACUGCAACAUCCACACCUUUGGUGCAUGGAUUCAUAAGGCCACCACCACCAACUGCUUCGACUAUUUCAUCAGUCUCUCCCAAAACAUUCACCUAUCAGCCCAAAUUGUGUUGUGAGACAGCGUGCCAGACAGACAAAGCUUUCAGAAAAGAUGCUGCUUGUCAAACAGAUGUUGAAUCUCCCAUCAAGAAAGAGACCGUUAAAGAAGAAUACAAGCCAGUAGCGCUGAUGGACACAUUCAAUAUCGUCACAAUAAAAGUGGAAGAGCAGUGAGAGCAAGCGCAGAGGAGAAGCCCUACAUGUGGCUAGCGGAGCUUCUGUUUGACUGCGUGUUGGAUGAGUCCCAGCGGUUUCAGGAGCACACAGUUUAAAAGACUUGAGAAGUGGGAGACUGUGGCACUGCACAUGCUUCAAACCCAUGAACACCAUCAAAUGAAAAAAUGACAGCAACAACAAAAAAACCCUCUCUUUUUAUGCAUGUCUGCACUCAAAGUUUUAAUUGAAUAAUAGGGCUGUUAUUUGUGUUUGACCAGAAAUAUUGCAGCUGAUGUUUUGCUCUGUUGAUUAGAAACUUGUAAACACAUUGCUAUGGUAGUUUUUUUGUAAAAUGACUAGGCCUAUCAUGAAUUGGUUCAUGGACCUAUUGCGUACUAGCAUCUUUGAUGUAUGUUAUGAUGUCGUAUGUCAUGUACAGUAUGUGGACAUUCCAUCACACCGCUUCUAAUUAAGGGUUUUGGCUUUGCCAGUAAUUUCUGUGAAGAUGAAUCUUAAUGCUCCAGCAUGCAGGGAUAUUUUAGAGUUGUGUGCAUUCAAUUGUAUCGCAUCAGUUUAGUGAGGGCCAUUUCCUGUUCCAGUAUGACAUGUGCACGAUUGCUACGUUCACACCGCAGCGGAAUGUGGCCCAAAUGUGAUUUGUUUUUGUUUUUUUUCACUCCAAUCUGUGAUUGGAUGACCAUGUGAACAGCCAGAAUCUGACAUUUUCAAAUCUGAUCUGGGCCACUUUCAUAUGUGGAAAUAAAUCAGAUACUUAUUUGAUUUUUCCAUUGUGCCCUCAGUGUGAACAGCCAGGUCAGAUUUAAUGUGAUUUUACAUCAAACUCAACAUUCGUCAUUUGUGCACUUGAUUUCCAGCAUGUAUGUGCGUGUUAUGGUUUCUCCAUCACUUGCUGACAUAUUAUUAGAUAAGCAUUAAAUGUCCUAUCAGGAAAAAAAAAAGCGUACAUUUUAAAAUGCAUUUUAAUAAAUUAUUCAUAUAAUAAUAUUGUGCCAGAGUUUGAUACGCAUGCUCAGAGUGUAAUACACUUGCGGGUCAGUUAAUGAGCGUCGGCUGUUCAAACCGGUAUCUGAUAUGAGCGACAUUUAAAAUGUCGUGAACAACCUAACAAAAAAUCAGAUUUGGGUCACAUUCAGCUGCGGUGUGAACAUAGCCACACAAAGCUCAGACCCGAAUCACAAUUAGGGAUUGGGGUGUUUUCAGAGCUGGAUUCAUUUAUGGUUAUGAGCUUUCCAUCCCUAUGCAUUAAUGAUCAGUAGUCCCACUGCUUUUAAUAUAAGCAUCAAACAGUGCUCUGAUAUUCACUUUCGUGAAUUUCCCCAACAUUCACCCCUAAGCAUCCUGAUCUGUCGUUUGCAGAGUUGUUGAAUACAAUUCUCAACCUUUCACACCUUUGUCUCAAGGCAGAUAGACUGCGAGUAUACCAACUGUCUGAUGCAUAUGGGCCAUGUCCAAAUAUGCAUACUUCACUACUAUAAUGCCAUUGGUGUAGUGUGUUUGAAAAUAAAAGUGAAGGUGAGAAAUACCCAGAUGACCAUCUACUUCUGGUGAUAUUCUGAAAUGUGCAUACACUGGUCUCUGUAUUAUCCCAUAAUGCCUCGGGAGCUGAGGAGACUAUGUUCAAAACGCUGAAUUAAAAAAAAUGAUGGCUCUUUUCAAUUGUAAGUGCUAUAUACUGUAAACCAAGAGAGUUGUUCCUUGUGCUUGAAUCAGAAUCAGAAUGAGCUUUAUUGCCAAGUAUGCUUACACAUACAAGGAAUUUGUCUUGGUGAUAGGAACUUCCAGUGUACAACAAUACAAAAACAGCAGCAAGACGUAGAUAAAAAUAAAAAAUAAUUAUGCACAUAUUUAUAUGGUGCUUGUUUAACAACCGGAGUAGAUCGUUUUCAUGGUUGGCGUUAUGUCAUAUAUUUGGGUGACAGGUCAUCACACAAAUUCCGAGAUUAAGUAUAUUCGGGAAUACAUUCAUGCUACUCAACUGAAUACCUGAAGAACGUACAGUUUUACCAGCCGAGAAGUGCGUUUUUCAUCAAAUACUGCACAUACUCUGACAGUACACAAUUUCAGACGUGGUCACUGUGUGUCCUGUCGUAUGUGAGAUUUUUACUCUAAUGAAAUUGACCUGUUUGGAUGCAGUGGGUCCAGUGUUGUAGCAAAUGUCAUCAUCACUUUAGCUGAGCCAUUAUACGCCACAUUUACCUUUACGAUGUCCGAAAUCGACACCUAUCCAUCUAUAGUGCACUAUUUUGAGUGUCUGCCAUUUUGUUACAGUGUCUGAAUUCAUCCCCUACAUCUUGUUCUCUACUUUUGUUCACUCAUUCUUACCCACAAUGCAAUCUGAUUUUGAGUGCACAUUCGACAUAGGCUGUGUCUUGUUUGGAAGGCUGCAUGCUAGGUAGGACACGUCCUUUGAAGGCUUCAGUAUACCGAGUGUCCUCCUUUAAACAAGUAUCAUAACAGACGGCCUUCGUAGGACAAACGGAAACGGAACGUAACAUGGUUGCUAUGACAGCACGCCACUCUUUAACAAGCGCGAGCGCUUUGAGUGAGAAGAGAACCCUCUGGAAGGGAGUGUAUGUGGUACAUUUUAGGAGUGUUAUAAUGAUGUAAAGAGAAAAGAAAACAGAUUUUACAGGUGUACUUUUAGUCUAAAACUUUAUUUUAAUUAUAUAUUAAUAUCAUUAUACAUAUAUACUCUGCACCCAUCUACUGAAGUACUUCAACUUGGGAAGUAACAUUCCUUGUGUUUGAACAUCAUAUUUACAGGCAAAUUGGCAUCAUGUUUUUUUUAGACGUUUCCGUUGAAGCAAAGAGUUGUGGGUUGUGAGUGACCACAAAUGAUACACCUCAUGCAUCCUCCGAAUUCACGUGAAAGAAGGUGGCAUACAACUCAUGUCCUACUCGCUUUUCUGAAACGAGAAAGCCUCAGUGACAAAUGCAACCUCCACAGGACGCAUCCUUCCAAACGAGACAGCCAUUCACUCGACGACGGUUAAUUGCCCACAAUCCACCGCGGGGAAAACGUACGAGCUGGGAGUUUACUGCUUCCUUCACUCCUGCAAUGUUUAUUUCAUGCUGAAUGUAUUAAAUUACUUUUUGACAAAUUAUUACUUGAUUAAAAUAACAUAUAGAGAGGCAAAACAUACAGAUACAUUUUAAAAUAUACUCUAUUUAUUUUAUACACAAUUUUGUCAUUAAGUUGAAUAAUUCUUUAUUUACUAAAUAAUUGACUGAGGUGAUAUUAUUUUAACUUUGGAGACUGAACACAGUGGAAAUGAUGAUUCUGUGGAUGAUUUAAAUAUUCGGUUUUAACAUGUAGGUUAUGAUAAUGUGGUCGGAUGAGAAACGCUACCCAGCUUGUAUUGGAGUUUAAAGUAUAACAAAGAAAUACAAUAAUGUACAUUUGAUAAAAUGUUUACUCUUUAUAUUAAUAUAUAUAUUAAAAAUGACAAAAAGCAUUUAUUGUAUUCAUAAAUUAUUUAAUAAAAUAAGUAUUUUAAAAGUUAUAUGUGAUGUUUCUGCGACAGCCCCAGAGCUCCGACGCUUUGUGUAUAUGUCAGUGUCCGAAUUCACUCACUCAUUUUGUUCACUCACUGCUGAGAUAUAGUGCAUUCACUGCCAUUCACUAUAUAGGAAUGAGUUAAUGAUUUCGGAUACAGCAGAGGUCUACUGAUUUGUUGCACUCAGUAUUUUUCUUAUGUCAUCUUGUACUUACACUGACAACUAGUGGCAAGGAUGCAGCAUUAUUCAAAUGCAAUCAUUUUCAGUUACUGAUGCCAUUAUAGAAAUUCACUUCACCAUCAGCCAUAAUUAAAUACAUUUAUGCAUUAAAGUGUCCAAUAACAGGGCGGUUACUGAGAAUAAGCGAGUAGUAUUUGGCUAGUCAUGCAUGUAACACUGAUUUGAUAGGUGUGGGUGAGAAACAGAUCAAUAUUUAAGUAAUUUUUCACAAUCAAUCUUUACUUACACUUUCACAUUCAGCCGCCAACUGAUUGGUGCUGGUCAAAGGUGGAGAUUAAUAGUUAAAAAAAAUAUUGUCUUAAAUAUUGAUCUGUUUCUCACCCACACCUGAAGACAUGGAUUAAACCACGGGAGUCAUAUAGGUUACUUUUACGCUGCCUUUAUGUGCUUUUUGGAGCUUCAGAGUUCUGGUCACCAUUCACUCACAUUGUAUGGACCUUCAGAGCUGAAAUAUUCUUCUAAAAAUCUUCAUUUGUGUGAAUUUUAAUUUUUGGGUCAGCUAUCCCCAAACUAGAUAAUCUUUUAUUAACAAAUAAGAAAAGUAUUCAUUUUAGCUUACCUGUACAAAGUGGCAGUUUAUUACAAAAUCAUGCAGGAUAAGAGUCAUGAACCAAACCAACUAUCUCCAAUGUGAAUCACAUUACAAACUUUAAAGCAAAGGCGUAUUUAAAAACAAACGACAAAACAAGUCAUUUUUAUUUGUAUAGCACUUUUCACAACACACAUCGUUUCAAAGCAGCUUUACGGAAAAUCAUGUAUUAACAGAAAAUGAAACUGUAAUAUCUAUAAAGUCUUAGUCAUCAUUGUGUAGUUUGAUUAAAUAUGAUUGUAAACUGUGUAUAAAAAUAAAUAAAUAAAAACUCCAUAAGAUGUUGAUUAAUGGAGAAAAAUAACCUUGAGAGAAACCAGACUCACUGUGGGGGCCAGUUCCCCUCUGACUAACAUCAUGAAUAUAAUGCCAAUAUUACUUAUGUAUAGUGCAAGUCAUGGGGUUUAAAAUUAUUAAACUAAGUAAGUGUUAAGGGUCAGUGUUUAAAACAAAGAUUUUGUAUGAACUGUAAGAUUAAUGACUAAUGUCUUUGAAGUCCAUCAUGGAUUAACUUCAGAAGUUCACAUUGAUGCAAUUGUCCUUUGUUAGUUGGCUGAUGAAGGGUUUUGUUGGCAAUUAAUUGAUAGUCUAUGUAUUCCAUUUCAAGAGUGUAGUCCAUCAUUAGACCGAGGUGAUGCAGGCAGAGAUCAGUUAGGUGCAUCUCAGUUCAACCUGGCCGGUAAUUUUGGUGAGGUCUAUCCUAAGUCCAAGGUUCAGGCAAUGGCAUAUGACGUAUCCCAUGUCUUAUGGUUGGAGUUGGCACCAGUUCAUCCUCUGUAGUCCAUCAUAAUAGACUGAAGUGAUGUUUGGCUGGCACCGGUUGCUAUUAGUCAUCAUCACACAGCGACAUGUAGCAGUGGAGUCCAACACGAAGCAGGAAUGGAGCUGGAUCCAGCCGGUUCUGGUGACCUCAGGAUAGGAGUCACGAGGAUGAGACAGGGAAACAAAUAAAAUAAUAUUAGCAUAGAUGCCAUUCAAUUUAUUGCAGAGUUAUAGAUCAUGAUCACUGUUUCUGGUUCCGGCAGACCUAACUGAAGCAGCCUAAUUGUGAGUUGAUGGAUAAAUUAGGUGUAUGCCUGGCUAAGUAGAUGAGUCUUUAGUCUAGACUUAAACUGAUUGAGUGUUUCUGCAUCUUGAACAGUGUUAGGGAGACUAUUCCAUAGUUUAGGAGCCAAAUAUGAAAAGGAUCUACCUCCUUUUGUGGAUUUUGAUAUUCUAGAAACUAUUAACAGGCCAGAAUUUUGCGAUAGUCAUGAAUGUGAUGGAAUAUAGCGUGGUAGAAGGUUACUUAAGUACUGUGGAGCUAGAACAUUCAAAGCUUUGUACGUAGUUAACAGAAUUGUAAAAUUAAUACGAAAUUUAUCAGGUAGCCAAUGUAAUGACGAUAAAAUGGGGCUAAUAUGAUCAUAUUUCUUGGUUCUCGUCAGCACUCUGGCUGCUGAAUUUUGAACCAAUUGAAGUUUAUUUAUUGAUCUUGCUGGACAUCCUCCCAGUAAAGCAUUACAAUAAUCUAGUCUUGAGGUCAUGAACGCAUGAAUUAGUUUUUCAGCAUCAGCCACAGAGAGCAUGUGUUGUAACUUAGCAAUAUUUCUGAGGUGGAAGAAUGCUGUUCUACAAACAUUGGAAAUUUGAAAAUAUGGAAAUAUGUUCUUCACUGUAGAAGACGACGUAACAGUACAUCCAUCGAGAGUCUAAUUAUAUUUUAACAGAUUAUUUUUUAGAGGUUUUUGGUCCAAUAAUUAGUGCCUCUGUUUUGUCAGAAUUGAGUAGAAGGAAAUUUCAGGCCAUCCAGUCUUUGAUUUCAUUGAUACACUCUGCUAAUUUGGAGAAUUGUGAAAUUUCGCCAGGUUUAGAAGAAAUAUAAAGUUGGGUAUCAUUGGCAUAACAGUGGAAACUUAUUCCACGAUUCCUGAUAAUAUCUCCCAGGGGAAGCAUAUAUAAGGAGAAAAGCAGAGGCCCUAAAACUGAUCCCUGUGGCACUCCAUACUUUUGUUUGGUUUGACAAUUCCUCCUUUACAUAGACAAAGUGGUAGCAGUCUGCUAAAUAGGACCUAAACCAUGCUAAUGCAAGUCCACUAAUGCCAACAUAAUUAUCCAGCCUAUUCAAGAGGAUGUCGUGAUCAGUCGUGUCGAAGGCAGCACUAAGAUAUAAAAGCACUAGAAGUGAAAUGCAGCCGCAAUCAGAUGAUAAGAGCAAGUAAUUUGUAACUCUGAUAAGUACAGUCUCUGUACUGUGAUGAGGCCUAAAUCCUGACUGAAAUUGUUAAUAUAUACUAUUUCUCUGUAGAAAUGAACAUAUUUGGGAGGAUCCUACCUUUUCUAGUAUUUUCGACAUAAACGGGAGAUUUGAAAUCGGUCUGUAAUUAGCCAGUUCUCUAGGAUCAAGCUGUGGCUUCUUAAUAAGUGGUUUGAUAACUGCCAUUUUAAAGUUUCUUGGGACAUGUCCUAAGGAUAGCGAGGAGUUAAUAAUAUUAAGAAGAGGUUCUGAGAUUACAGGGAAUACCUCUUUUAAGAGCUUGGUUGGUAUUGGAGCUAACAAACAUGUUGUGGCUUUUGAUGUUUCGAUAAGUUUUGUUAGCUCUUCAUGACCUAUGACAGCGAAGGAUUGAAGUUGCACAUGAGGAAAAUUAUGAGACACUGUUUUCUGAGGUACUGUGACAGAUGAUUGCAUAAUUCCAAUAUUAUUUCUGAUUAUUUCAAUUUUAUCAGUAAAGGUAUUCAUGAAGUAAUUACUAUUGUGCUGUGACGGAAUAUCUGGUUCAGUUGAUGCUUUAUUCCUAACCAAUUUAGCCACAGUACUGAAUAAACACCUAGGAUUGAUGUGAUUAUUUUCUAUAAGUUUGCUAAAAUAUGCUGACCUGGCAGCUUUUAGUGCCUAUCUGGAGCUACAGACACUAACAUUCCAUGCACCGCAAAAUACCUCUAAUUUUGUAUUCUUCCACUUGUGCUCCAUUUUCUGAGCUACUCUCUUGAGAGCAUGAGUGUGAUCAUUGUACCAUGGUGCAGGGCUUUUUUCUUUAAUUUUUUUUAACCGAAGGGUGGCAACACUAUAAAGAGUGCUAGAGAAGACUGUAUUUAUAUUUUCUGUUAUUACAUCAAGUUCUUCUUUUACUGAGUGUAUGAGAUAGAUCUGGAAGAUUAUUAGUGAAACUAUAUUUAGCUCUGUGGUAUAAUUUCUAUAGUAUUUUGUCUGACUGCAAGAGAUUUGAGAAUAUCAAUAAAUGCUAAUCCCAAUGUGUCUUUUUCAUUAUUUAUGUGAAUGUUGAAGUCACCAACAAUUAAAGCUCUAUCUACAGUAACUACUAGAUCUGAUAGAAAAUUUACAAAUUCACCAAGGAAACCAGAUUAAGGCCCGGGUGAUCUAUAUACUGUUGCAAGGGCAAAAGAUGAAAGAGAUUUUUUAUUUAUAUCUGACAGUGUCACAUUAAGCAUAAUUAGUUCAAAAGACUUAAACUUAUAUCCUGUCUUCUGAGUAACACCAAAAAUGUCACUGUAAAUUGUAGCAACACCUCCUCCUUGACCCUUCAGAUGAGGCUCAUGUUUAUAACAAUAACCCUGGGGGAGUAGAUUCAUUUAAACUAAUAUAUUCAUCCGGUUUAAGACAUGUUUCAGUUAAACAGAGCACAUCCAAACUAUGAUCUGUAAUAAUUUCAUUUACAAUUACUGAUUUGGUUGAAAUAUCUAAUUGUCUAAAAUCUAAUGUUUAUUAGCCCUACAUUUAUAUGAUGUUUAUCUUCAAUUUAUCUUCAACAUUCGGAUUAACCAGUUUGUUUGCUUCCUGACCUGUGCACCAUUUAGCCAAAUACUAUCACUAUUAAGACUAUAAGCCAAAUGACUAGAGAGGAGAGCGGCACCUUCCCUGGAGGGAUGGAGUCCGUCUCUCUUUAGCGGGUCAGGUCUACCCCAAAAACUCUUCCAAUUGUCUAUAAAUCCUAUGCUAUUCUCCGGACACCACUCAGACAUCCAGCCAUUCAGUGACACCAAUCUACUAUAUACCAUGUCACCACAAUGAGCAGGGAGGGGGCCAGAGCAUAUUACAGUGUCUGACAUCGUUUUGCAAGAACACACACCUCUUUAACAUUAUCUUUAUUGAUCUCCGUCUGGCGAAGCUGGACAUCAUUAGUGCCGACAUGAAUAAUAAUUUUAGAAAAUCUACAUUUAGCAUUAGCCAGCACUUGUAAAUUUGAUCUGAUGUCAUACGCCCAAGCCCCUGAAAUGCAUUUAACAAUAGUGGCUGAAGUCUCUAUUUCCACAUUCCUUACAAUAGAAUCACCUAUUACUAAGGCUCUUUCAACAUGAUUCUCAGUGGGUGUAUCACUGAGUGGGGAUAAUCGAUUGGAAACCCUAACAGGAACGGGAGAGUGGUGUCGCUUUGCUGAGUAUGCCGCCGAGACGUCACCCAAACGCCCUGCUCCGGUGCUGACGGAAGAAGCUAUAGUAAACAUGUGGCAUGCAAUGCAGGAAGAAAUAACAUGAGUGGAUGC